rnacentral:snoRNA from 1 species
ACCUGCCAAUCAUGCUAACUACUCGGGCUUGGCUGACUGGCCUCCCCGAGUACACCACCAACAACUGGGUCGAGUUGAAGGCUCAGUU